AUUUUAAUGAAAUGUAAGUUAAAUUUCAAUUAAAGAAAAAAACAAAAAGUACCAAUUUAAAAGUAAUGCAUGAUUUUUUCACUCAAAAGACGAAAAAAAGCUCAAGACAAUGACUUAACAUCAGAUCAUAUCAAAACCAUAUAUAUUUAAAGUCAUAUGAAACGAGUGACUGGUGAAAAUUAAUGUUAAUCCAAUUCUUGAAUCAAUCCCUGUAUAUAUCAUAAACUUAGUCUUCUGUACACGAUUUAAUCAUUUUUGACGCAAACACAUCGUAUAAUCGUCAUUUUCUUUAAUCUCUGUCUGUUAUUAUGCGAAACCCUGGCGAGUAGUUAAUUGUCGUGUUUUGAAGCCGUAGUUUACCGAUUGUCACCUUAAUCCUUAGUGUUCUAUGUUGUGGCAUG
rnacentral:lncRNA from 1 species